ensembl:lncRNA
GUUUCCUCACAGAGUGCUGUGAUUUGCCGUGUGCACUGGGGCUUUUGGAUUGGUGUAAUUUAACUGUUUGUUUACUGUUCAAGAUGGAGGGAGAAUUGCAGGAGCUACGGGACCUGGUGACUCAGUUGAGAGUGGAGAAUGAGAGGUUGAGGCAGGAACAGCCUUCAGUAAGUUCCCUAGUGAGUAAUACUACACAUGGUAAUGAUGCGGCAGCAGCUAGGCCUAUUUUGCCAGGUGCUGGUGCUGCAUCAGCGGAUAGGUUUGUUUUUGUCCCUAGAGACCGGAAAUGUCCAAAAUUUAGUGGAACGUCAGGUAUAGGUAUUGAUGAAUGGGUCGAAGAGGCACAGGCUUGUAUCCGGGCCCGUUGCUUGUCUACGGCUGACCAGGCAUUCUUUUUGUUCGAUCACUUGGAGGGUGAGGCUCGGGAGGAAAUUAGGCAUCGUCCUGAUGCCGAUAGAAGUAAUCCAACUCUUAUAGUCGAGGCCCUACGUGAAUUGUAUGGCUGCUCAUUGUCCUAUGUGGCUUUGCAAGAGGCCUUUUUCUCACGGAGGCAGCGGGAGGGGGAGACCCUUUUGGAGUUCUCCCUUGCCCUGAUGGGCCUCCAGGAGAAAGUUAAGCAGCAGUCAUCCUCUGCCAUGCCAAAUGCGGAAAUAUUGUUGCGUGACCAAUUUGUUGAAUUUGUGUUAGAUCCGGCAUUGCGUCGUGAACUUAAACAAUUGGUGCGCCGGCAGCCAUUAUGCACCUUCUUGGAUGUCCGGGGCGAGGCGAUACGUUGGGAACGGGAAGGGACGCCCGGGGGAACGAGACCUAGGAGUCAGUCACUUCCGGUAGCAUAUGGGUUUCAGUGUGGGGUACAAGGGGAGCCACAGGCUGAAAGCAGUAGUUCACGGUUAGAAUUUGCAGAAUUGCGAGAGAUGUUAAAGUUGCAGCAAGAGCAAAUAGGUCAGCUUACACAAGGGCUUGCCCGAUUACAGAGCUUUCAGUCCCGAAAUACCUCUCCUCGCCGUGGUCCAGUAAUAUGUCGGCGGUGCCAACGUGAAGGUCAUUUUGCUAGGGACUGCGAUGGACAGCGUGCUCCCCCUCGGUCGAGGCCUCCUUCCAGGUUUGUGUCUACAACCCGGGAAGAACCAGUUCAUUCUGUACAGCGGUCGGAAAACUAGUACCCACCGAACUGCAGAGUCACUGUUCGGUUGGGGAGUUUGAUGGCUCUAUUUUAAAUCCCAUUACUUCCGUGCCUCAGUUAGUUUCGUCUUGCCCUCAUCUCGUUGCCCUUUUUGGUGGCGUUUCGAUCUCUUGUUUGGUGGACACUGGAUCGAUGGUGUCCACCAUAACCGAGAGUUGUUUCCAUGAGUACAGCGAACAGUGGGGACAGGGAGGGAUGCAGACAUGUCACUGGUUACAGCUUCGUGCCGCUAAUGGCCUUGCGAUACCAUACGUCGGGUAUAUCGAGUUGGAUGUGGAGCUGUGCGGCAGGCGGGUGCCAAAGUGCGGGGUCCUGGUGGUCAGGGAUCCUCCAGGUGGGCCGUGCACUAGAGUCCCGGGCGUUUUAGGGAUGAAUAUUCUACGGCGCUGUUACCAGGAGCUCUUUGGGCAGCAUGGCCCCGCCUUAUUCAGCCUGCCGUCGGUGUCACAAGCCCCAAGUAUUAUGGUUCAGGCCCUUCAGCAUUGUCAGCAAGCUAGUACCCAGCCCAGUGAGAGUAGUGUGGGCAAGGUUAGAGUGCGUGGCCGUCGCGCAUGUCGUAUUCCUGGUGGUACUAUAAAGUUAGUGGCCGCAACAUGUUCCAGGCAGUUUGCAGAUACCACUGUGCUUUUCGAACCCUUGGAGGGGGGUUUGCCUUCUGGAUUGUUGGCCUCUCCUGCAUUGAUAAAAGUCAUCCAUGGUACGGUUUAUGUACCUGUAGUGAAUGUAGGGAUGUUGGAUGUGUUGCUUUACCCUCAUAGCAUUUUAGGUAGUCUGAAUAGUGUCUUGGUGGUCAGCUUGCCCACUGAGGUGGUAGAGGUACAGUCUGUUGCUGCCACUGACGCCCAGGGCUCCCAGGUGCUCUGCGCUAGUGGUCAGGGCUCUCAGGUAAGUGCUGUAUUGGAUCAGAUUGAAGCCAUUGACUUAUCUAUGCUGAGGAGUGAGGAAGUCAGUCAGGUUAAGGCACUGCUUCGGAACUAUCAUACAGUGUUUUCUGCACACGAGGGCGAUCUGGGGUGUACCAAUUUGAUUACCCAUGAGAUCCCCCUGGUUGACGAUAUCCCAGUUAGACAGCGUUAUCGAAGAAUACCCCCCUCAGAGUAUGAGGUCGUUAAAGCCCAUAUUAAUCAGUUGCUUGAGGCGCAAGUGAUCAAGGAGAGCAGUAGCCCUU